UAUUUCCUGCCCAAUGAUGUAUUUUAAAUGGCUGCAGUAUUCUGACUGUACAAAGGUAGCAUAAUAAUUAGUCUUUUAAUUGAGGACUGGAAUGAAUGGAAGUAUGAGAAAUAUAUUUUAUUUUUUUUAUUUUUAUAAUUUUAUUUUUAAGUAAAAAAUCUUAAUUGUUUUUUAGGGACGAAAAGACCCUGUAGAACUUAAAUUAUUAACUUAAAUUUAAUUUUAUUUAGUUUUAUUAAUUGGUUAUUUUUGUAUAUAGUUUUGUUGGGGGGACAAGUAAAUGUUUUAACUUUACUUUUUUAAAUCAUUAUUUAAGUGUUUAUGUUGAUCCUUUUUAAGAAAAUAAGACAAAGUUACCUCAGGGAUAACAGCGUAAUUUUAAUGGGGAGAUCUUAUUUAUAUUAAAGUUUGCGACCUCGAUGUUGAAUUAAGAAAAAUUUAAGGGGUAGGUUCUUUAAUAUUAAGUCUGU
rnacentral:rRNA from 1 species